GAUGAACGCUGGCGGCGUGCCUAAUACAUGCAAGUAGAACGCUGAAGGAAGGAGCUUGCUCUUUCCGGAUGAGUUGCGCACGGGUGAGUAACGCGUAGGUAACCUGCCUGGUAGCGGGGGAUAACUAUUGGAAACGAUAGCUAAUACCGCAUAACAGUAGAUGUUGCAUGAUAUCUACUUAAAAGGUGCAAUUGCACCACUACCAGAUGGACCUGCGUUGUAUUAGCUAGUUGGUGAGGUAACGGCUCGCCAAGGCGACGAUACAUAGCCGACCUGAGAGGGUGAUCGGCCACACUGGGACUGAGACACGGCCCAGACUCCUGCGGGAGGCAGCAGUAGGGAAUCUUCGGCAAUGGACGGAAGUCUGACCGAGCAACGCGGCGUGAGUGAAGAAGGUUUUCGGAUCGUAAAGCUCUGUUGUAAGAGAAGAACGAGUGUGAGAGUGGAAAGUUCACACUGUGACGGUAUCUUACCAGAAAGGGACGGCUAACUACGUG
rnacentral:rRNA from 1 species